GCUUAAAGGGGCCGUAGCCGGAUUGAUAAAUCUCUUGUGAAAUUGUUGGGCUUAACCUAACAGCGCGCAGGAGACACUGUCAAUCUAGAGACCGGGAGGAGUCAGAGGUAUUCAUGAGGGAGCGGUAAAAUGCUAUAAUCUCAUGAAGACCACCUGUGGCGAAGGCGUCUGACCAGAACGGGUCUGACGGUGAGGGACGAAAGCUGGGGGAGCGAUCCGGAUUAGAUACCCGAGUAGUCCCAGCUGUAAACGCUGCGAGCUAGGUGUUGCAUAUUCCCAGUGAAUAUGCAGUGUCGAAGCGAAGGCGAUAAGCUCGCCGCCUGGGUAGUACGGUCGCAAGACUGAAACUUAAAGGAAUAGGCGGGGGAGCACUACAAGGGGUGCGGCGUGCGGUUUAAUCCAACUCAACGCGGAGAAUCUCACCAGAGGCGACGGCAGGAUGAAAGUCAGACUGAAGGUCUUACUCAACAAGCCGAGAGGUGGUGCAUGGCCGCCGUCAGCUCGUGCUGUGAAGUGUCCUGUUAAGUCAGGCAACGAGCGAGACCUAUACUCAUAAUUGCCAACGAGGUUUUUAGACUGAUCGGGCACAUUAUGAGAACUGCCUUGGAAACAAGGAGGAAGGUGUAGGCAACGGUAGGUACGCAUGCCCCUAA
rnacentral:rRNA from 1 species